rnacentral:autocatalytically_spliced_intron from 1 species
GAAGGCCGUGUGCGGGAAAACCGCAAGCACGGCUUGAUGAGGGAUGGCUGGUCAAGGCCGCCACGAAAAGGCUCUUUAGGCACCGUCAGACGAAAGGGACGGCAACGGAUAGGCCGAACCUGAAGCUGCUGAGACCUGCUCUCUACUCUAC